rnacentral:rRNA from 1 species
GCAUAUCAAUAAGCGGAGGAAAAGAAACCAACAGGGAUUGCCUCAGUAACGGCGAGUGAAGCGGCAAAAGCUCAAAUUUGAAACCCUCGGGAUUGUAAUUUGAAGAUUUGGCAUUGGAGAAAGCUAACCCAAGUUACUUGGAAUAGUACGUCAUAGAGGGUGACAACCCCGUCUGGCUAACCGUUCUCCAUGUAUUGCCUUAUCAAAGAGUCGAGUUGUUUGGGAAUGCAGCUCAAAGUGGGUGGUAAACUCCAUCUAAAGCUAAAUACUGGUGAGAGACCGAUAGCGAACAAGUACUGUGAAGGAAAGGUGAAAAGAACUUUGAAAAGAGAGUGAAAUAGUAUGUGAAAUUGUUGAUAGGGAAGGAAAUGAGUGGAGAGUGGUUUAGGUUUCAGCCUUCUUUCGAGGGGGUGUACUACCAACGCCGAGUCAUUGUCAGCGAGACAGGGGUUAUAAACGGGUUGCCUUCUGGCUUCUCACCUAACCCCUCCACUGCCGACAACGACAUAAUCCACCCAUUUCACCCGUCUUGAAACACGGACC